GACGAACGCUGGCGGCGUGCUUAACACAUGCAAGUCGAACGGAAAGGCCCUGCUUUUGUGGGGUGCUCGAGUGGCGAACGGGUGUGUAACACGUGAGUAACCUGCCCUUUACUUUGGGAUAACUUCAGGAAACUGGGGCUAAUACCGGAUAUGAGCUCCUGCAGCAUGGGGGUGGUUGGAAAGUUUCGGCGGUUGGGGAUGGACUCGCGGCUUAUCAGCUUGUUGGUGGGGUAGUGGCGUACCAAGGCUUUGACGGGUAGCCGGCCUGAGAAGGUGACCGGGCACAUUGGGACUGAGGUAGGGCCCAGACGCCUACGGGAGGCAGCAGUGGGGAAUAUUGCACAAUGGGCGGAAGCCUGGUGCAGCGACGCCGCGUGCGGGAUGACGGCCUUCGGGUUGGAAACCGCUUUCGCCUGUGACGAAGCGUGAGUGACGGUAAUGGGUAAAGAAGCACCGGCUAACUACGUG
rnacentral:rRNA from 1 species